GGGUUGUGAGGUUAAGCGACUAAGCGUACACGGUGGAUGCCCUGGCAGUCAGAGGCGAUGAAGGGCGUGCUAAUCUGCGAUAAGCGCCGGUAAGGUGAUAUGAACCGUUAUAACCGGCGAUACCCGAAUGGGGAA
rnacentral:rRNA from 3 species